rnacentral:misc_RNA from 1 species
UUCAUAUAUACUACAGUAUGGCUUGUAAAAUACUGUUUGUCGAACGAUGCUUGCCUACAUAUACAUAUGUGUGCAAUCCUCGUUUAAGAUAAGAAUGCUAUUGCAACAUGUGCAUUGGGGGACCGCUGGCGCUAUCCAUCUCCUCCCCCCUCUUGCACACGAAUGUCAUGACAAACACACACAUCGUUGUCACUGUGAAAUACAUUUAGCGAGAAUUGAAAUGUUUUUACAGGGCUAGUCCGACAACGGUAAAUGUCUAUGUCAUUUGCAA